UUUGACAUUAGAAAUCAUCACAUAAAUUGCAUGUAUUUACAACAUGAUGUUUAAAUAAUAUGGUCAAGCAUUUGAUUUAUGUUAUGCAAAUUCACAUCAUGGUUGAUGGCAUGAUUUAGGCAUUAUUAUCUCAACUAUGGUAGAGGCUGAAUGUUUAGGUCUUUAUAUUUUCAAAUUAUAUAGAAAGUAAAUUUAAUUUAAUAAAAAUUAUCGAAAAGUUAAUAAAAAUAAGUUGUGGUGACAUUAACAACACCCCUUCAAAGCUGUAAGCUAAUACAUUUAUUAUUAACAGCAUAAAAAUGAAUUGUUUCUUUUCUUGUAUGAUCAAUUAAUAGAAAGUACCCAAUUAAAAAACCCUUGUUGAUUCAACAAAAGUCUUAUUUACUCUAUUCAGCAUUCAAGUAGGUAAGUGUCCCUAAUGAAAUGCUCUUAUAAUUUUAUGUUAGAAUCACAUUAAAGUCAUUUGAUUUCUCCAAUGUAGAUAUUUCUGCAACAUGGUUCAAAAAACAGAUCAAAUCAGAAACAAUCCUUGUGUUCAUAUCACAAUUUUCAAAAACACCAAUGCCAAACUAAAACAUGAUAUCUAAAUCAAGAUCCCCCCAUGAAAGUUCACCAUGUUCAAAUUUAUCUUAUUCUAACACCAGAACUUACAUUCCAACAUUAAAAAUAAAAUAAAAAAUUGCUAUCAUGAAGGGACUGAUCUAAAGGCCCUCAGUAUCUCCAUAUGCUCAUGUCCUACAACACACAACAGUCCAACAUACAACAAUAGCUAGUAAAUAUUGAAGCAUAUUCCAGAUUCUCAUGCAUGACUUUCACUGCAACAUGGGUUGUGUGAAAAAAACCCCAUAAAACUGCAUAAAAACUUUGUCUCCAUUCAUAAAGCCCUGAAGCUUUAUUCCAAGCACACCAACCUUGUACUCAUGCUACAUUACAAAUACUACAUAUAUUCAGGAUUUUUCCCCAGUGAUGCAAGGAAAGCAACUUCAUUUUCCAGAACUCCAAACACCCUUUCCACAACCAUUGACCAGUUCCUGAGGCAAUUCUGCUGGUUACUGUGACAUUGUCAACACCCAUGUACAGUAGAUGCUAGAAGGCGGUGGGUAACAAGUAAGAAGAGUACAUAACAUGUUCCCUUAAUGUUGUGGAUCCAGUACCUGCAACUUCUGGAGCUCCCAUCUCUUGUACAGGAGGUACAAGUCAGCCUAGUGCAAGGGCCGUGUUGAUUCAGCAAGUUCGUGAAGAUAAGCUGCAGGCCACUUGCAUGUGGUAGAAAGGUACCGCAACAGUCAGCCAAGCACAAGUUAGGCUACUUGUUCGGGAGCACGAUUUUCAUAGUUAAUCAAUCAGUCACAAGUUGCAAACUUCUCCUGGGUGAGCUGAGCAAUGCCCUGAAGAGAGCUUUCAACCCAGUACUGGUGCUGUCGUUUUAUAUUCAAGUCAGUGAGCAACAACACUGCACAGGAAACUGAGGUGGACAAUUGACUGUUUACACGAUUCAGUUGUCUACUGCAUCGUAGACUCAUUUUUACGACAGGUUUACCACCGUCAGGAGAUUAAAAGCU
rnacentral:lncRNA from 1 species